rnacentral:rRNA from 1 species
GACGAACGCUUGCGGCGUGCGUAACACAUGCAAGUCGAACGGAAAGGCCCUGCUUUUGUGGGGUGCUCGAGUGGCGAACGGGUGAGUAACACGUGAGUAACCUGCCCUUGACUUUGGGAUAACUUCAGGAAACUGGGGCUAAUACCGGAUAGGAGCUCCUGCUGCAUGGUGGGGGUUGGAAAGUUUCGGCGGUUGGGGAUGGACUCGCGGCUUAUCAGCUUGUUGGUGGGGUAGUGGCUUACCAAGGCUUUGACGGGUAGCCGGCCUGAGAGGGUGACCGGCCACAUUGGGACUGAGAUACGGCCCAGACUCCUACGGGAGGCAGCAGUGGGGAAUAUUGCACAAUGGGCGGAAGCCUGAUGCAGCAACGCCGCGUGCGGGAUGACGGCCUUCGGGUUGUAAACCGCUUUCGCCUGUGACGAAGCGUGAGUGACGGUAAUGGGUAAAGAAGCACCGGCUAACUACGUGCCAGCAGCCGCGGUGAUACGUAGGGUGCGAGCGUUGUCCGGAUUUAUUGGGCGUAAAGGGCUCGUAGGUGGUUGAUCGCGUCGGAAGUGUAAUCUUGGGGCUUAACCCUGAGCGUGCUUUCGAUACGGGUUGACUUGAGGAGGGUAGGGGAGAAUGGAAUUCCUGGUGGAGCGGUGGAAUGCGCAGAUAUCAGGAGGAACACCAGUGGCGAAGGCGGUUCUCUGGGCCUUUCCUGACGCUGAGGAGCGAAAGCGUGGGGAGCGAACAGGCUUAGAUACCCUGGUAGUCCACGCUGUAAACGGUGGGUACUAGGUGUGGGGUCCAUUCCACGGGUUCCGUGCCGUAGCUAACGCUUUAAGUACCCCGCCUGGGGAGUACGGCCGCAAGGCUAAAACUCAAAGGAAUUGACGGGGCCCCGCACAAGCGGCGGAGCAUGCGGAUUAAUUCGAUGCAACGCGUAGAACCUUACCUGGGUUUGACAUGGAUCGGGAGUGCUCAGAGAUGGGUGUGCCUCUUUUGGGGUCGGUUCACAGGUGGUGCAUGCCUGUCGUCAGCUCGUGUCGUGAGAUGUUGGGUUAAGUCCCGCAACGAGCGCAACCCUUGUUCACUGUUGCCAGCACGUUAUGGUGGGGACUCAGUGGAGACCGCCGGGGUCAACUCGGAGGAAGGUGGGGAUGACGUCAAGUCCUCAUGCCCCUUAUGUCCAGGGCUUCACGCAUGCUACAAUGGCUGGUACAGAGAGUGGCGAGCCUGUGAGGGUGAGCGAAUCUCGGAAAGCCGGUCUCAGUUCGGAUUGGGGUCUGCAACUCGACCUCAUGAAGUCGGAGUCGCUAGUAAUCGCAGAUCAGCAACGCUGCGGUGAAUACGUUCCCGGGGCU